CCCUUAGAUGUCCGGGGCCGCACGCGCGCUACACUGAAGGAAUCAGCGUGGCUUUCUCCCUGACCCGAAAGGGUUGGGAAACCCGUUGAAUCUCCUUCGUGAUAGGGAUUGGGGCUUGAAAUUGUUCCCCAUGAACGAGGAAUUCCCAGUAAGCGCGAGUCAUAAGCUCGCGUUAAUUACGUCCCUGCCCUUUGUACACACCGCCCGUCGCUACUACCGAUUGAACGGUUUAGUGAGGGCCUCGGAUUGGUCUCGGCCCGCUCUUUACCGGGCGGCGCCGUUGGUCGAGAAGACGCUCGAACUUGAUCGUUUAGAGGAAGUAAAAGUCGUAACA
rnacentral:rRNA from 1 species